ensembl:lncRNA
GGUGAAAAACGGGGUCUGGGGGGUUGGCGUGGAUGUGGGAUUGAUGGGCAAGGCACAGAUGAUUCAGACUGGAAAUUAGAUAAAAAUACCCAAGACACUGGUGAUAAAGAGGCAGAUUCAGACACAAAACAGAAAACACUUAAGCCUGAGCAAGGUCUUGGUGAAGAUCAUAGCAGUCCAGUCUCUAGCACUGAUGAAGUGGACAAAUAUAAAAAACAUGCUGUUGCUAGCCAAUGCAUUGAAAAUGGCCGGAGUCAAGGUCCAGGUGAAGGUCAGGUUUCAAGUGUAGAUAGACGGAGCCGUGGACUUUCCCAAAGAAUAGAGGCUCUUUUUACAGCCCCACCUGGGCAUGGCUCAGAGGAGAGGCUUGCCCGCAUGAGGGAGGUGGACACUGUCUCACGAAUAAGAAGCCUUAGCCUCCGUAGCUCCGACUCUUGGGAUGGACUGCAUGGGGUGGGAAGGUGGGUAGAUUAUGGAUGGGAGAAAGACUGCCCCCUUCCUGGCCCACAGGAAUCUUCAAAAAUCACAAAGGUAGAGGAUAAAGAGGGCAGGGCCCACCCUGCAGUCACAGCCCACCCUGCGGUCACAAGUGAACCUAAAGAAACAAAAGACAACCAGGCAACCCUAAAAGAGUCACAGGAGCCCAGCCAGGUGGAGAGGUCGUAACCGAACCCUAGAGGUCAGAGGUCAUCUAACUAAGGGCCAGCCUCCAGCACUGUGACCUGGCUGUCUGUUAAAUGCCUUCAUCCUCAUAUGCUAUUGAAACAUCCUCAGACAUUGACAAACAUAUAUACACAACAUUAGACACAAACACACUGAGCGAUGCAUCUCUCUUUAAUACACACGUCUGUGCAUUAACACACACAAACACUCAAAGUCAUUGCCAUGUAUGCAGAAGCUCACAUGCAUUCAGAACACAUUUAAACACCUAACCACACUGAGACAUCUGAAAUGGCCUUCUACUCCGACAAGAGCAUUGUGUAUCAACUCCACUCCACGCCCACUCAGUUCCAGCUCUGCUGGCUUUCUAAGUGUUGCUGUUCCACUGCCAGAAGGAGGUUCCCAAUAAUGCCCCACCCCAUUCAUAUAUUACAGUUCUCAUCAUGCCCCAUUUUUCUUAAUUUCGUGCCCUUGUCAUAUAUCUUUCCCCUGCAAUUUCUGUAAAGGUUGGUUAAUUGGACUUUAUCUGGUGCAUUACUCAGCAAAACAUUGAAAUUUUGUUGUGUGACCAAGAAACAAACAAACAAAAAAACUUUACUGUCUUUUGUAAAAAAAAAUAGACUGUUUAAAAAGUAUUACAGAACAAUCGAUGAAGUUUAAAACCAGCUACAAUCUCUUAUACUGUCAUAUCCCUUGCAAACAACCUAUCAUCCUCACAACUGUCUUUCCUCAAACCAUUGCCUUCCUCACAUCUUUGCAUGUUCCUUCCCUCAAUCAAUUUUUCAAAGACUUCAGUCUUCUCACUAACCCUUCAUUACACUAACCUUGUGUACAUCUCAUGAAUUUCACAUUUGUCUAGACAGUGUUAUCUCUGCGUUCCAGUGUUUUGCUAAUAACUGACAAUAUAGCUAUUUGUGUAAGUCCUCAUCACACUUACAAUAUCAUCCCACCGGUAUUGACAAAGUCUUGUCCCUAUAUUCAAGGUCUUGUGCUACACUUCUUAAUUACUAUGACCACAAAUGAUUAACAUUGUCUUUGCACAUUAACCACUCUUUAUUUAUUGAGUUAAUAAUGUCUCCCAACUGACUGAUAUCAUCCCACACUAGCAUACACUCUUGAAAAGAAAUGUUCUUUACUGAUAUCAAUGGUUCCAUGAAAAACAUUUCCUGUCCAUGGAACCUUUCCAUUCCACAUAAGGUUCUUCAUAGUGAAAAAAAAAAAGAUUCCUUAAUUUUUUUUAAAUGGUCUUCAAACUAAGAAAUAUUUUAUUCUUUUAAGAACUGAUUACAGAAAGGUUCUUUAAUGGCAACCCCCUUUCUGAAGCUUUAUUUUUAAGAGUGUAUAUGUGUGUCUGAGCGUUCUUGCUGAAACGCACAGCUUUAAUGCCGCACUUUAAGCUAACUACAUCAUAUUACCAUGUCCCAACCAGGUAUGUUUACUGUGUUAUUGCAAGGUUUUAAUUCAUCAUAUUUCACCCCAAAAUCAAAUGAAAAAAACAAACAAAAAAAAACUAAUGACAUUUUGCAUUAAGAAAAUGAAGCCAAAUUUUCUAAGUUACCCAAUUUAGGUGGAAAUAUGUUAAAAAUAUACAAUUAUGUAUAAUAUUAAUAAAGGGUAGUGUUUGUUGUACA